rnacentral:rRNA from 1 species
AUUGAACGCUGGCGGCAGGCCUAACACAUGCAAGUCGAGCGAGCGGCGGACGGGUGAGUAAUGUCUGGGAAACUGCCUGUUGGAGGGGGAUAACUACUGGAAACGGUAGCUAAUACCGCAUACCAUCAGAUGUGCCCAGAUGGGAUUAGCUAGUGGGUGGGGUAACGGCUCACCUAGGCGACGAUCCCUAGCUGGUCUGAGAGGAUGACCAGCAACACGGGAACGGAGACACGGUACAGAAUCCUACGGGAGGCAGAAGUGGGGAAUAUUGGACAAUGGGCGCAAGCCUGAUGCAGCCAUGCCGCGUGUGUGAAGAAGGCAUUCGGGGUGGAAAGCACUUUCAGCGGGGAGGCGUUACCCGCAGAAGAAGCACCGGCUAACUCCGUGCCAGCCGCCGCGGUAAUAC